GAGAUAGGGUUUCUCUGUGUAGCCUUGGCUGUCUUAGAACUAACUCUGUAGACAAGGUUGGCCUCACCUGCCUCUGUCUCUCAAGUGCUGGGAUUAAAGGCGUGCACCUCCACCGCCCGGCCUCCUACAACACGAUUUUAUGGAGGCAUUUUCUUAAUUGGGAGUCUCUCCUCUCAGAUGACUAUAGCUGUGUCAAGCUGACAUCAAACUAGCAGCAUAGUGAGGUCAAGUCCACUUGUCUGCGUGCUUCUGUGCAGGCCAGAGGUCAACGCUGGGUGUUUUCCUCUUUGUUCUCCAUCUUUUUUGUUUAUUAUUUUUUAAAUUUUAUUUUUGUUUUAUAUGCAUGGGUGUUUUGCCUGUAUGCAUGUCUGUGAACCAUGUGCAUGCAGUACCUGAGGAGACCAGAAGACCGUAUCAGACAGAUCUCCUGGAACUGGAGUUACAGGUGGCUGUGAGCCCCUCUGUGCCUGCUGGGAUUUGAACCUGGAAGAGAAGCCAGUGCUCUUAACCACUGAGACAUCUCUCCAAUACAUUUUCAGAUAUGGCUAUGGUAUCAUGUGAUCUGAGACAGUCUAUUGGUCUCACAUUUCCUCCAUAGCCAGUGGCUGCUUUGUUUAGUUAAUUCCAUGGUAGCCACUGUGCUUUACAUAAUAGUGACUGUGGUGAGUCUUUGUUUCAUGGAACCCCAUGAAGGUGGCACCACUUCACAACCACACUCUAAACAGAGGGCACAGCUUAGCUGAGUUGAGCAGCUUGUCCAAGAUUGCAUGGCUUCUGAGGAGCUGAGCUGGGCUUCUGUUGCUUCCAACCUUCUGUGAUGCUGCUCCUACAGUAAACAGGUAGCCUGAGCUUUGUGUGAUUUCAGCAUGCUUGGAGCAUGCUAUUCCAGGUUCUUAAAGCAUUUAGCUCAACAGCCACUUGCGAAGUCUCCAUUGACUUUGCUUCACUUGGUGGGAAUGGAUGAAACGUGGCCCAGCGAUGACAGUGUUUGGGGGUUGGGAUAUGGUGAAGCUGGGCUUUCAAUAUGAUUAAAUGCUAAAGUUUCUAAAUUUCUCUUUCCUUGGAGUUUAUUUAUAGGAAGGCUUUUGCUCCCAUCCAUCCAUCCAUCCAUCCAUCCAUCCAUCCAUCCAUCCAUCCCCCAUCCAUGUUUCCCCCUCCUUAAUCAUUCACAAUUCUAGGUUGAGGGCAGGGAUGUAGUUAGUUGGUAGAAUUCUGGCCUAGUAUUCACAAAGCCCUGGGUUAGAUGCCCAGCAGCAUAUAAAGCUGGUACCUAUAAUCACAAAAUUCAGGAGGUGGAGGCAGGAGGAUGAGAAGUUCAAGGUCAUUCUUUGGCUAGAUUGUUGUGGGAAUUCUGGUAUCCGGCAUUACUAGAUAGUAAGUUUGAGAUCAGCCUGGACUAUUAUUGAUAGCCCACCUCUCUAGACCAGGCUGACCUCGAACUUUUUUUUUCUUUUGUAUCUUGUAUACACAUUUAAUUCCAGCACUUGGGAGGCAGAGGCAGGUGGAUAUCUGUGAGUUAGAAGUCAGCCUGGUCUACACAGUGAAUUCCAGGACAGCCAGGGCUAUAUAAUGAGACCCUGUCUUGGAGAGAGAAAGAGAGGGGGGAGAGGGAGGAAGAGAGGAGGGAGAGAGGGAGAAAGGGAAACUAUCUUAAAACUAACCAAACUAAAUUACGUGAUGGCAGACUACUUAUAUUCUAGGUUCUAGGAAUUUGCAUUUUGAGUGAGAGUGAGGUUGAACAAGAAAGCUUGAAGGUGAAUACUGCAUUAAAAUGUAUGAGGCAAGCAUGACCACUAAACUUUGGAAACCUCUCCCUGUGUGAGGGGUAGGCAGGCAUAGGUGCAAGCAGGAGCUGGUCUCUGUGACUCAGAGUCAGAUAAGAUCUCAGAGGAGGUGGCUCUUUGGCAUAGUGAUACUGGGAUAUUCCUAGAGCUGUCAAGCUUCUUGAGAGGUGAAAGGCUCACAGCUGAGGGGACAGGCUUAUGGUGUCCAGGACGGCACCUCCACCAUGGUGGUUGACUGUAUGAAGACCCAGCAACCAGGAGACAGUGCCUCAAAGUCCACUGUGCCUCAAAGGCAGAACCAAACAUUUCAAGAAAUGAAGUAGGCAUUUCCUGUGUUUCUCAGUUGAUGGCUUCAGUUCGUAGUCACUCCCCUGCAUCAGGCCAUCUCCGCUGGCGGAAGUAUUUACUAAGGCUACUACUGUUAGUGUGUGAGUAAGUACUCAUGACGUGUGUGAGCAUGUGCAGUGGCUCACAUCUGGAGGUCAGAGUAAACCAUGUGGAAUUAUUUCUCUCCUUCCACCUUUACACAGAUCCCAGGGAUUGAACUCAGGUCGUCAGGCUUGCCUAGGAAGCACCUACAGUCCCUGAGCUAUCUCACCGUCACAGCGGAAGUAUUUCUGAGGUGCAAACCUGCCUUUCAUGCCUGCUGCUUCUGCCAAUGCCACUCAUUCUGAUGGAUUGUCGAGGCUCCACGGCAAAGGGGGAGAUGGUGUCCACUAUCCAACAGUCUACAGGGUGUGGAAUAAGAGUGGCAAUUUCACAGGGUGAAGAAGAGAAGUCUCAAAGCAUCUGAUUGCAGAGGGCAGCAGCCACUUCUUCAAGUCAGCGUCAUUUGUUCAAGGGAAUAGCUCUGCAAACCCUGCAUGGCCUGAAGUAGGUCAGACUGGAGGAAGCAGCCUGGUGUCUGUGAGAGGAGUAUGCAGAGGACACUGAAAGGAACCUUCCUGCAACUGCCUGGUUCUCUGACCCUUAAGGGCUUUUGGUUGUCCCCUCACCCCGCAUCACUUAUGAGCCAUGUUUCAUUCUCUCACUCACGCACGCACUCACUCACUCACUCACACACUCACUCACAUACUGAAAGCUGGCCUUUCCAGACUCCAUCCUAGAUGCUGGAGCCUCGGGAGAGGACCUCUCAGGAUGCUUGUUGGUAGAGCUGAGAAAAAAAGGAUCACAUUUUCCUUGGUGAGAAAAGCCGCAGUUUCUUCCAGAAUGCCUUUGAAGAGAGGGGCCCACCGCAGUUCCUGUCCUUGGAGAUGGUGCAUUGUUGGAGCAUGAGCUGUGACAAAAGGCAGUCAGCCUUUGAGGCUGAGAAAUGGAUGAAAGGUCCAUACAUGGGCCAUUGUCUCUAGCAAGCAGCGUUCUCAAAGGCUAACUGCGUGUUAAACAGAACCAGACGCUCCCAGCAGCCCUCCCCAGUCCUGUUUGCAGAUGUUUUACGGACGUUUAAGCCUCAGGACUCUUCCUUUCUUCCCUCUAGUGGAUGCUCCUCUUGCUGGUGCCCACUCAUUAACUUGUGUUCCCAUUAAGGGCCUGAGGUUGCGGUCCUCUGCUUGCAAUAAACAGGCAAGCGCCACCAGGGGAGAUGCUGGAGCCUCAGAAGUGGUCUCAGAAGUGGAGCAAUGUCAUGACGACUUUGCAAAUUUAAAAACAGCACGGAAGGCAAAAAUGAGGAAGCCACAUGAAGUGCUGACCAAGAGUGACUUCCUUUCCUGUCCUGGGGCUCUGUGUGGGAUGCAGGCUGGGGAGGAGGGAAAAUUACGAACCACGUGGUGCUUGGUUGAGAUCCUCAGAGAUGUGCAGGGAGGCUUUGCUUUGUGAUGUCUCAGAUGACUGCUGUGGGAUGGUCUGUAUGUCAAAUGUGUUGCUGAUUGGUCAAUAAAUAAAUCACUGAUUGGCCCGUGGCCAGGCAGGAAGUAUAGGCAGGACAAGGAGGAGAAUAGAGCUGGGAAGGAAGGCUGAGUCAGAGAGACACUGCCAGCCGCCACCAUGACAAGCCGCAUGUGAAGAUGCCGGUAAGCCAUGAGCCAUGUGGCAAGGUAUAGAUUUUUGGGAAUGGAUUAAUUUAAGCUGUAAGAACAGUUAGCAAGAAGCCUUCCAAGGCCAUACAGUUUGUAACCAAUAUAAGUCUCUGUGUUUACUUGGUUGGGUCUGAGUGGCUGUGGGACUGGCGGGUGAGAGAGAUUUGCCCUGACUGUGGGCCAGGCAGGAAAACUCUAGCUACAAAUGGUGCCCAACGUGGGGCAAGAGUUUCCACCUAAAAACUGAGAAAAAAGAUUCUAAAAUGGAGCUAAAAACAGCUUCCUAAUUGUCUCUCUCAAAUGAGCGGCAGCUGCCGGUUUGAGCUACUGGCGGGUUCCUAGCAUGCGUGCAUGCUCGACCUGCAGUAUGGCGGGAAUGAGGCCUCUGCAAGUGGCACAUUAAGCUGUGUGGUGGAUUUAGCCUUUGCUAGUACAAAACAAAAGAAAAAAGAGGUUUCUGGGCUACACGCUGCUUUGAUAGAAGCAUAGACCCACUAUUUCUGAGAGUUGAUGGCUCCCAGAGCUGGCGGAAAACGUAUCACCGCCAUGUUGGGAAGCUGAAGUGGGCAGAGCCAGCAGCGCCAGUGCCCUUUCAGGCUUAGAAGGCUGAAGUUUAAAACAAUAGGCUCAAGCUAAUAUAAAAAAAUAAGCCACGUAAAGAUGGCUACCACACAGAGAAUCUGGAUUAUGUUCUCUUUGAUAUUCGUAACUGAAGAAAAACAUUUGAUUGCAAAAGCUGUUGAGUUAUGCCAAAAUGUAUAUUUUAAAGGUACCUUGACUUCAAAAUUUGGAUGUAAGGAUAUGUUGCUUUGGAAAGGAGGCUCUGUUUUUGUUUCCACAGAAAGCCAGAGGCUAUGGAUUUGUUCCAGAUUAAGAUACAUCAGGUUUGACCAGCCAAGACCCCCUGAAAGGUCUCCGAUGACACCAUGGCCCAGAUGAUCCAACAUCCAAAACCGUUUCAAGGAGACUGGCUCAGAUGAUACACCCUCACGGAUUAUUCCAUAAUCCUAAAAUAUUCUUUGUGUCCCCAUAAGAUACAGCACCCCCCUCCAGCAGGAAGUAGUAAGAAAAACUACGUCCAAAUUCCCAAAUAUACCAAGCUGACUUUGGAGAUGUGUAAAGGUUAAAACCUUCCUUUUUAAGAAAAGAAAAGGGGAAGUGCUGUGGGAUGGCCUGUAUGUCAAAUGUGUUGCUGAUUGGUCAAUAAAUAAAUCACUGAUUGACCCGUGGCCAGGCAGGAAGUAUAGGCGGGACAAGGAGGAGAAUAGAGCUGGGAAGGAAGGCUGAGUCAGAGAGACACUGCCAGCCGCCACCAUGACAAGCCGCAUGUGAAGAUGCCGGUAAGCCACGAGCCAUGUGGCAAGGUAUAGAUUUAUAGAAAUGGAUUAAUUUAAGCUGUAAGAACAGUUAGCAAGAAGCCUGCCACGGCCAUACAGUUUGUAACCAAUAUAAGUCUCUGUGUUUACUUGGUUGGGUCUGAGUGGCUGUGGGACUGGCGGGUGAGAGAGAUUUGCCCUGACUGUGGGCCAGGCAGGAAAACUCUAGCUGCAGAUGACUCCUGGUGCAGCCUGCUCUGUAUCCACCUGGGUUAUGUUGUGGAACAUCAGCUGUUAGGAAGAAGUAGCCCUGGCACCAGGGAAGGGCAUCUUGGGGCGGAGUUGUGUAUCCCUGGAAGUGAAGGGCACUGCAGUGCUGUGGGAUGUCUUUCUGUACACUGUGAAUAUGUGUUGCUCUGCUUGGUUGAUGAAUAAAGCUGCAUUGGCCUAUGGCAAGGCAGCUUACAGGUGGGUGGGAAAUCUAAGUAGAUAUAUGGAGAAAAGAAAGGAGAGGAGGGAGAGAUGCCAGCUGCUGCCUAAGGAACAGCAAGAUGCCAGCAGACCGAUAAUGCCACAGCCACAUGGCAAUACAUAGAUUAAUAGAAAUGGGUUAAUUUAAGAUAUAAGAGCUAGCUAGGAAGAGGCCUACCAUAGACCAUACAGUUUGUAAAUAAUAUUACGGUUCUGAGUGAUUAUUUUAUAAGCGGCUGUGGGACCGCGAGGCUGGGCAGGACUGGAGAAACUUCCAACCACACUGCAGGGUGUGCAGCAGUGGAGUGUGGUCUGGAGAAGGAACAGACGAUGUUGGAGUCCUACUCUGCUGAGGUGGGGACAGGAACAGAUGCCAAUGGCCCACCUAAGGCCACCAGACCUGGGUCUUGAGUCAGAGCUGAGUUCCUAGCUUGUUUCACCAAAGGAAAACCACAGAGUGUUUGAGGAAAGAGGGACCUGAGUUUAUGAAAUUAUUUGGGCAUGUGAUUGGGGGGGGCAUGGUGUUGACUACAAUGGAUUUGUGCUCCAUCCUGGGUUAGUAUUUUAGAAAGUGGAGCAAUUUGUUGGGUAGGUACCUUGUAUUAUCCACACUCCUUGGUUUAACCUAUAGGUCUUGGUGUGGGAGGAUGGAGCUAUCUGCAGCUACUGCUUGGAAAGGAACAACAGUGACUCACAUUAGUCAAGGGAGAGGAAACUCGGGCGCCCUGCCUCCCCCGUUCAGGUUAUGGAGUGGUUUUCUUUUUAUAUAAUUGGACUUCUUAGUUGAUGCAGAUAUUGGGACAUGGUUGUGGAUCUUGGGGAUGUCACAGUCUAGCAGGGAGCGGCUAGGUUAACUACCAAAUGAAACAUCUUGGAGAUGUUUUCCCCUUCUCCAUCAUCAAAAUACCUGGGACCUGGGCACUGGGAGAUAAAUAGGAGUUUUAUAGAUCAACUAGGUGGUGUUGAGUAUCCCAGGAGGCAGUGGACACAGAGUAGGUCAGGAUUGCAGAAAUGAGGGUGUAUGGGACACUGGGGGUCCAGGGCCAAGGAGACAGGUAGCAGGGCCAGCUGGUGAACAACUGGCGAGUUUGACUGAAGAGCCUCUGUCUUCUUCUUGGAGCAGAUGAUUGACAAAUGUUUAUUGAAAUAGAAUAUUGGAUACCGAACUAAACCCCUUCUUGUGUAUUCCACCUUCUUUCACCUCGUUGUUUACACCCAGGCCAUAAAGAAGAGCUGUGUGUGUGGUAGAAUGCCGACCUCCCUGGAGAGCAGAUAGCCCUGGACUUCAGCAGUCAUGGAGCUGAAGGGAUCCUUACUAUGAAUUAUGCAAUUCCAAUCACACUUCACAGGCUGUGACUCAGAAGCCACAGUGACAUCAAGGACCUUUUCUCCCACUCUUCCCGCUCAGUGCCUGUAAAUGUUCCCUCACGCCAAACCCAAGCUGCUGCUAUGGCUAUUCUCAGGCAGUAUACAUCUUUAAUCCCAGUACUCAGGACACAGAGUCAAGCAGAUCUCUGUGAGUUGGAGGUUAGUCUGCUCUACAUAGUGAGAUCCAGGUCAGCUAGGGCUAUGAAGAGAGACCAUGUCUUAAAAAAUGACAACAACCCCCACAUUGAGACACAUGUCUAUCAUAUUAAGGACCCAUCAAAAAUUCUAUUCCUACCCCUCUCCACCCCCAGUGUUGGGGACUGAACCCAAGGCCUCUGAUAGCAAGGUAAAUGCGUUCCCACUAGGCUGUAUCCCUAGUCAGAACAUGCCAUACGAAGUCUCACAUGGGUCCUGCAUCUGGCUAGAGGCAGCAGAUCUUGACAUCAAGCCAAAAUAAGCUGUGGUGGUUUGAAUAGGUCUGGUCCCCAUAGACUCAUGUGCUUGAAUGCUUGUCCCAUAGGGAAUGGCACUGUUAGGAGAUGUGACCUUGUUGGAGUAGGUGUGGCCUUGCUGGAGGAAGGGUGUCACAGUGCGGGUGAGCUUUGAGGUCUCAUAUGCUCAAGCCAUGCCCAAUGUGUCACAAUCUUCUGCUGCCUGUGGAUUCAGAUGUAGAACUCUCAGCUCCUUCUCCAGCACCAUGUCUGCCUGCAUGAUGCCAUGUCCCACCAUGAUGAUAUGGACUAAACCUCUGAAACUGUAAGCCAGGCCCAAUUAAAUGUUUUCCUUUAUGAGAGUUUCAAUGAUAAUUGUUUUCACAGCAAUAGAAACCCUAACUAAGACAGAAGUCAUUCUUGGACAGGAAAGUGGUCUGAUCAUAACAUGGGAACAGGGCUUUGGACAUGCUAUUUAAAGAUUGUCAGCUGAGCUACGUCUCCAGCACCUUGUGUAAGUUUUUUGGUGUAUGUGUGUGUGUGUGUGUGUGUGUGUGUGUGUGUGGUGAUAUUUUAUUUGUAUUAAAAUGUUAUUUGUAGGUUAAUAAAUAAAGUUGCCUGGGGGUCAGAGCUAUUAGCAAGCCAUAGGAAAACAGGGCAGUGGUGGUGUACUCUUGUAAUCUCAACACUUGGUAGGCAGAGCUGGGCAAGUCUCUGUGUGUUCAGGGAUACAGCCAUUAUUGGAUACACAUGCCUUUAAUCUUAAUACCAAUCAUGGAAAACCUGGAGGCCUAUACAGACAGGCCGUGAGGAGGCAGUCAUGUGGUUGGGUUUACAACCAAUGAGAAGGCAGGACAGGAACUCUAUAUAAAGACUUUAACACAGGGGUAGCUCUGGUUCGGAGAGGUAGGACCACCGCAGGAGGAAGGGUAAGGUUUUAGCUCUUAGCUCUGACCUCUUGGCUUUCUUCUUUGCAUUGGUUCUGUGUUUCUUAUUUAAUAAGAAGGUUGGUUACAUCUACGUGUGUGUGUGUGUGUAUGUAUAUGUACACAUGUGCCUGUGGAUGUACAUUCACAUGUAUGCACCAGCCAGUGGAGGCCAGACAUUGACCUCAGGUAUUUUCCGUGAUUGCUCUCCACCAUAUGUUUUGAGACAGGGUUUCUCACUGAAUCGAGAGUUUGCCAAUUACUUAGACUGACUGACCAUAAAACUCCAGGGAUCCACCUACCUCUGCCUCCCUAGUCCUCAGUUUUGCAGGGAUGUAAAAGUACAGACUUUAUAGGAGUCACGAGGAUGAGAACUCAGGUUCUCAAGAUUUCAUGGCAAGCACUUUACUGGUUAUUUCCCCAGUCCCUUGUAUAAGUUUUUUUUUCAGCCUCUUCCUUGCUCAUUUUCUCUGUUAAUAGUAGGUGUAUCUGAGAUGGUGAGUACCUCCUAGGAUCUGUGUGAUGCCAGCACUUUGAAUUAAUGGCCUAAAAGAGAUUAUCGCUAUUUGGGUAAGAGGCAGGAAGAUAUUGCUUGUGCCAAGCUCUGAAGUGUCAACGUGGGGGGGAUGGUGCCUGCUUGGACUCUGCUUGUUACCUCAAGUGAAUGGCAUGUACAAGAGGUCCAACCUAGGUCUACCCUAGGUCCACUGUAGGAUGGUACUGCUGGAGUAUUUUCUAACACACAGGCCCAACAUGACCUUCCUUCCUUGUGCUAUGGGGCAGAGAGGUACUGUUUACUAUUUUGCUGUUGUUACAGGCAGGAGGAGCAAGCUGGGAUGAGAACUCUCUUCUUGCCAGCUCAUUAAGGAGUGGAAUGGACAUCUGCAGGCCACACAGCAGAGCACGCUCUGGGUCUGUGGACCUCUGCUUCUUCUGGACAUCCUCUCAUGUUCUCUAGGAAGUCAGGGACAGGGGAGGCCUCAGGCAAGAAGGUGGUUUGAGCAGGUGUGGGUGUCAGAAGUUUCUGGUAAAAAGGCUGUGAACAGGUUCCCAAUGUGAAGGGAUACUUGGUAGAUGGAGAAGAGUGUCUCAGAUGAAAUAGCCACAGGGGUGCUAAAUAGAACUGUGUGUUGUGACAGAGGCCAUCCUGUCAUGCUGCACUCAGCUAAAGUGUCCUUGAGUGUUCAGCUUUCUCUGCUUGACUCCUUGAAUCCUCACAACUGACCUGAGAGACAAGAAGCAGUGCUGUUACAUGUCGCAGGGAUGUUGAAUGACCUAGCCAAGGUUUUCGGCUAAUAAGUAGCCACCAAAGCCAGGGUCAUGUGUUAGAUUCUGAAGUCGGCAGUGAUGUCAAGGACGACUGCAGCAGUACAGUAGUACAGUAGUCAACAGUUACUGCAUGCUUACUCUGCACUGAGCACCAUGCUAAGCACCAUCCUGGGUAAUUAUCAUGACAUUUGAGUCUGUGUGCUUUUACCCUCACUUCAGGAAUGUGGAAACCAGAGAUUGCUUAGUGGCUUGUGAGAUGCAGA